rnacentral:rRNA from 1 species
UGCAAGUCGAACGCUCACCUUCGGGUGGGAGUGGCAGACGGGUGAGUAACACGUGGGAACGUACCCUUUGGUUCGGGACAACUCUGGGAAACUGGAGCUAAUACCGGAUACGCCCUUUUGGGGAAAGGUUUACUGCCGAAGGAUCGGCCCGCGUCUGAUUAGCUAGUUGGUGGGGUAACGGCCUACCAAGGCGACGAUCAGUAGCUGAUCUGAGAGGAUGAUCAGCCACACUGGGACUGAGACACGGCCCAGACUCCUACGGGAGGCAGCAGUGGGGAAUAUAGGACAAUGGGCGCAAGCCUGAUCCAGCCAUGCCGCGUGAGUGAUGAAGGCCUUAGGGUUGUAAAGCUCUUUUAUCCGGGACGAUAAUGACGGUACCGGAGGAAUAAGCCCCGGCUAACUUCGUGCCAGCAGCCGCGGUAAUACGAAGGGGGCUAGCGUUGCUCGGAAUCACUGGGCGUAAAGGGCGCGUAGGCGGCGUUUUAAGUCGGGGGUGAAAGCCUGUGGCUCAACCACAGAAUGGCCUUCGAUACUGGGACGCUUGAGUCUGGUAGAGGUUGGUGGAACUGCGAGUGUAGAGGUGAAAUUCGUAGAUA